UGGGGAAUAUUGCACAAUGGGCGAAAGCCUGAUGCAGCGACGCCGCGUGAGGGAUGACGGCCUUCGGGUUGUAAACCUCUUUCAGUAGGGACGAAGCGCAAGUGACGGUACCUGCAGAAGAAGCACCGGCUAACUACGUGCCAGCAGCCGCUGUAAUACGUAGGGUGCGAGCGUUGUCCGGAAUUACUGGGCGUAAAGAGCUCGUAGGCGGUUUGUCACGUCGUCUGUGAAAUCCUAGGGCUUAACCCUGGACGUGCAGGCGAUACGGGAUGACUUGAGUACUACAGAGGAGACUGGAAUUUCUGGUGUAGCUGUGGAAUGCACAGAAAUCAGGAAGAACACCGAUAGCGACGGCAGGUCUCUGGGUAGUAACUGACGCUGAGGAGCGAAAGCAUGGGUAGCGAACAGG
rnacentral:rRNA from 1 species